UUUCUCCCUCUCUCGUUUCGGGUCUCGCACUCAAGGUUUUCGUACUCUUCUUGCUCCACAUUAUAGCUGUAUUCAGACUGAGUCCACAAGUCUCCCAUAUUUUUAUAGCAGCAUUCAUGACCGAGUCCACAUACUCUUCUUGUUCCAAGUUAUAGCUGUAUUCAGACUAAGUCCAAGUCCCCCACAUUUCUAUAGCAGCAUUCAUGACCGAGUCUACAUACUCUUCUUGCUCCACAUUAUAGCUGUAUUCAGACUAAGUCCACAAGUCCCCCACAUUUAUAUAGCAGCAUUCAUGACCGAGUCCACACACUCUUCUUGCUCCACAUUAUAGCUGUAUUCAAUCUGAGUCCAAGUCCCCCACAUUUCUAUAGCAGCAUUCAUGACCGAGUCCACAUACUCUUCUUGCUCCACAUUAUAGCUGUAUUCAGACUGAGUCCACAAGUCCCCCACAUUUCUAUAGCAGCAUUCAUGACCGAGUCCACAUACUCUUCUUGCUCCACAAUAUAGCUGUAUUCAGACUGAGUCCAAGUCUCCCACAUUUCUAUAGCAGCAUUCAAGACCGAGUCCACAUACUCUUCUUGCUCCACAUUAUAGCUAUAUUCAGACGGAGUCCACAAGUCUCCCACAUUUCUAUAGCAGCAUUCAUGACCGAGUCCACAUACUCUUCUUGCUCCACAUUAUAGCUGUAUUCAGACUGAGUCCAAGUCCCCCACAUUUCUAUAGCAGCAUUCAUGACCAAAUCCACAUACUCUUCUUGAUCCACAUUAUAGCUGUAUUCAGACUGAGUCCACAAGUCCCCCACAUUUAUAUAGCAGCAUUCAUGACCGAGUCCACAUACUCUUCCUGCUCCACAUUAUUGCUGUAUUCAGACUGAGUCCAAGUCCUCCACAUUUCUAUAGCAGCAUUCAUGACCGAGUCCACAUACUCUUCUUGCUUCACAUUAUAGCUGUAUUCAGACUAAGUCCACAAGUCCCCCACAUUUCUAUAUCAGCAUUCAUGACCGAGUCCACAUACUCUUCUUGCUCCACAUUAUAGCUAUAUUCAGACUGAGUCCAAAUCCCCUACAUUUCUAUAGCAGCAUUCAUGAUCGAGUCCACAUAUUCUUCUUGCUCCAUAUUAUAGCUGUAUUCAAACUGAGUCCACAAGUCCCCCACGUUUCUAUAGCAGCAUUCAAGACCGAGUCCACAUACUCUUCUUGCUCCACGUUAUAGGUGUAUUCAGACUGAGUCCAAGUCCCCCACAUUUCUAUAGCAGCAUUCAUGACCGAGUCCACAUACUAUUCUUGCUCCACCUAAUAGCUGUAUUCAGACUGAGUCCACAAGUCCCCAACAUUUAUAUAGCAACAAUCAUGACCGAGUCCACAUACUCUUCUUGAUCCACAUUAUAGCUGUAUUCAGACUGAGUCCAAGUCCCUCACAUUUCUAUAGCAGCAUUCAUGACCGAGUACACAUACUCUUCUUGCUCUACAUUAUAGCUGUAUUCAGACUGAGUCCACAAGUCCCCCAUAUUUCUAUAGCAGCAUUCAUGACCGAGUCCACAUACUCUUCUUGCUCCAUAUUAUAGCUGUAUUCAAACUGAGUCCACAAGUCCCCCACGUUUCUAUAGCAGCAUUCAGGACCGAGUCCACAUACUCUUGCUCCACAUUAUAGCUGUAUUCAGACUGAGUCCAAGUCCCCCACAUUUCUAUAGCAGCAUUCAUGACCGAGUCCACAUACUCUUCUUGCGCCACAUUAUAGCUGUAUUCAGACUGAGUCCACAAGUCCCCCACGUUUCUAUAACAGCAUUCAUGACUGAGUCCACAUACUCUUCUUGCUCCACAUUAUAGCUGUAUUCAGACUGAAUCCAAGUCCUCCACAUUUCUAUAGCAUCAUUCAUGACCGAGCCCACAUACUCUUCUUGCUCGAUAUUAUAGCUGUAUUCAGACUGAGUCCAAAAGUUCCCCACGUUUCUAUAACAGCAUUCAUGACUGAGUUCACAUACUCUUCUUGCUCCACAUUAUAGCUGUAUUCAGACAGAGUCCAAGUCUCCGACAUUUCUAUAGCAGCAUUCAUGACCGAGUCCACAUACUCUUCUUGCUCCAUAUUAUAGCUGUACUCAGACUGAGUCCACAAGUCUCCCACAUUUCUAUAGCAGCAUUCAUGACUGAGUCCACAUACUCUUCUUGCUCCACAUUAUAGCUGUAUUCAGACUGAGUCCAAGUUCACCACAUUUCUAUAGUAGCAUUCAUGACCGAGUUCACAUACUCUUCUUGCUCCACAUUAUAGCUGUAUUCAGACUGAGUCCACAAGUCUCCCAUAUUUCUAUAGCAGCAUUCAUGACCGAGUCCACAUACUCUUCUUAUUCCAAGUUAUAGCUGUAUUCAGACUAAGUCCAAGUCCCCCACAUUUCUAUAGUAGCAUUCAUGACCGAGUCCACAUACUCUUCUUGCCUCACAUUAUAGCUGUAUUCAGACUGAGUCCACAAGUUCCCCACAUUUCUAUAUCAGCAUUCAUGACCGAGUCCACAUACUCUUCUUGCUCCAUGUUAUAGCUGUAUUCAGACUGAGUCCGAGUCCCCCACAUUUCUAUAGCAGCAUUUAUGACCGAGUCCACAUACUAUUCUUGCUCCACCUAAUAGCUGUAUUCAGACUGAGUCCACAAGUCCCCAACAUUUAUAUAGCAGCAAACAUGACCGAGUCCACAUACUCUUCUUGCUCCACAUUAUAGCUGUAUUCAGACUGAGUCCAAGUCCCCCACAUUUCUAUAGCAGCAUUCAUGACCGAGUCCACAUAAUCUUCUUGCUCUACAUUAUAGUUGUAUUCAGACUGAGUCCACAAGUCCCCCAUAUUUCUAUAGCAACAUUCAUGACCGAGUCCACAUACUCUUCUUGCUCCAUAUUAUAGCUGUAUUCAUACUGAGUUCACAAGUCCCCCACGUUUCUAUAGCAGCAUUCAAGACCGAGUCCACAUACUCUUGCUCCACAUUAUAGCUGUAUUCAGACUGAGUCCAAGUCCCCCACAUUUCUAUAGCAGCAUUCCUGACCGAGUCCACACACUCUUCUUGCUCCACAUUAUAGCUGUAUUCAGACUGAGUCCAAGUCCCCCAUAUUUCUAUAGUAGCAUUCAUGACCGAGUCCACAUACUCUUCUUUCUCCACAUUAUAGCUAUAUUCAGACUGAGUCCACAAGUUCCCCACAUUUCUAUAUCAGCAUUCAUGACCGAGUCCACAUACUCUUCUUGCUCCACGUUAUAGCAGUAUUCAGACUGAGUCCAAGUCCCCCACAUUUCUAUAGCAGCAUUCAUGACCGAGUCCACAUACUAUUCUUGCUCCACCUAAUAGCUGUAUUCAGACUGAGUCCACAAGUCCCCAACAUUUAUAUAGCAGCAAUCAUGACCGAGUUCACAUACUCCUCUUGAUCCACAUUAUAGCUGUAUUCAAACUGAGUCCAAGUCCCGCACAUUUCUAUAGCAGCAUUCAUGACCGAGUCCAUAUACUCUUCUUGCUCUACAUUAUAGCUGUAUUCAGACUGAGUCCACAAGUCCCCCAUAUUUCUAUGGCAGCAUUCAUGACCGAGUCCACAUACUCUUCUUGUUCCAAGUUAUAGCUGUAUUCAGACUAAGUCCAAGUCCGCCACAUUUCUAUAGCAGCAUUCAUGACCGAGCCCACAUACUCUUCUUGCUCCACAUUAUAGUUGUAUUCAGACUGAGUCCACAAGUCCCCCACAUUUAUAUAGCAGCAUUCAUGACCGAGUCCACACACUCUUCUUGUUCCACAUUAUAGCUGUAUUCAUACUAAGUCCAAGCUUGCUCCACAUUAUAGCUGUAUUCAGACUGAGUCCACAAGUCCCCCACAUUUCUAUAGCAGCAUUCAUGACUGAGUCCACAUACUCUUCUUGCUCCACAUUAUAGCUGUAUUCAAACUGAGUCCAAGUCUCCCACAUUUCUAUAGCAGCAUUCAUGGCCGAGUCCACAUACUCUUCUUGCUCCACAUUAUAGCUGUAUUCAGACUGAGUCCAAGUCCCCCACAUUUCUAUACCAGCAUUCAUGACUGAGUUCACAUUCUCUUCUUGAUCCACAUUAUAGCUAUAUUCAGACUGAGUCCACAAGUCCCCCAUGUUUCUAUAACAGCAUUCAUGACUGAGUCCACAUACUCUUCUUGCUCCACAUUAUAGCUGUAUUCAGACUGAGUCCACGAGUCCCCCACAUUUAUAUAGCAGCAUUCAUGACCGCAGCAUUCAUGACCGAGUCUACAUACCCUUCUUGCUCCACAUUAUAGCUGUAUUCAGACUGAGUCCACGAGUCCCCCACAUUUAUAUAGCAGCAUUCAUGACCGCAGCAUUCAUGACCGAGUCCACAUACUCUUCCUGCUCCAUAUUAUAGCUGUAUUCAGACUGAGUCCAAGUCCCCCACAUUUCUAUAGCAGCAUUUAUGACCGAGUCCACAUACUGUUCUUGCUCCACCUAAUAGCUGUAUUCAGACUGAGUCCACAAGUCCCCAACAUUUAUAUAGCAGCAAACAUGACCGAGUCCACAUACUCUUCUUGAUCCACAUUAUAGCUAUAUUCAGACUGAGUCCAAGUCCCCAACAUUUCUAUAGCAGCAUUCAUGACCGAGUCCACAUAAUCUUCUUGCUCUACAUUAUAGUUGUAUUCAGACUGAGUCCACAAGUCCCCCAUAUUUCUAUAGCAGCAUUCAUGACCGAGUCCACAUACUCUUCUUGCUCCAUAUUAUAGCUGUAUUCAUACUGAGUUCACAAGUCCCCCACGUUUCUAUAGCAGCAUUCAAGACCGAGUCCACAUACUCUUGCUCCACAUUAUAGCUGUAUUCAGACUGAGUCCAAGUCCCCCACAUUUCUGUAGCAGCAUUCCUGACCGAGUCCACACACUCUUCUUGCUCCACAUUAUAGCUGUAUUCAGACUGAGUCCAAGUCCCCCAUAUUUCUAUAGUAGCAUUCAUGAUCGAGUCCACAUACUCUUCUUUCUCCACAUUAUAGCUAUAUUCACACUGAGUCCACAAGUUCCCCACAUUUUUAUAUCAGCAUUCAUGACCGAGUCCACAUACUCUUCUUGCUCCACGUUAUAGCUGUAUUCAGACUGAGUCCAAGUCCCCCACAUUUCUAUAGCAGCAUUCAUGACCGAGUCCACAUACUAUUCUUGCUCCACCUAAUAGCUGUAUUCAGACUAAGUCCACAAGUCCCCAACAUUUAUAUAGCAGCAAUCAUGACCGAGUCCACAUACUCCUCUUGAUCCACAUUAUAGCUGUAUUCAAACUGAGUCCAAGUCCCCCACAUUUCUAUAGCAGCAUUCAUGACCGAGUCCAUAUACUCUUCUUGCUCUACAUUAUAGCUGUAUUCAGACUGAGUCCACAAGUCCCCCAUAUUUCUAUAGCAGCAUUCAUGACCGAGUCCACAUACUCUUCUUGUUCCAAGUUAUAGCUGUAUUCAGACUAAGUCCAAGUCCGCCACAUUUCUAUAGCAGCAUUCAUGACCGAUCCCUCAUACUCUUCUUGCUCCACAUUAUAGUUGUAUUCAGACUGAGUCCACAAGUCCCCCACAUUUAUAUAGCAGCAUUCAUGACCGAGUCCACACACUCUUCUUGUUCCACAUUAUAGCUGUAUUCAAAUUGAGUCCAAGCUUGCUCCACAUUAUAGCUGUAUUCAGACUGAGUCCACAAGUCCCCCACAUUUCUAUAGCAGCAUUCAUGACGAGUCCACAUACUCUUCUUGCUCCACAUUAUAGCUGUAUUCAGACUGAGUCCAAGUCCCCCACAUUUCUAUACCAGCAUUCAUGACUGAGUUCACAUUCUCUUCUUGAUCCACAUUAUAGCAGUAUUCAGACUGAGUCCACAAGUACCCCACAUUUAUAUAGCAGCAUUCAUGACCGAGUCCACGUACUCUUCCUGGUCCACAUUAUAGCUGUAUUCAGACUGAGUCCCAUUUCUAUAGCAGCAUUCAUGACCGAGUCCACCAAGUCCCCCACAUUUAUAUAGCAGCAUUCAUGACCGAGUCCACGUACUCUUCCUGGUCCACAUUAUAGCUGUAUUCAGACUGAGUCCCAUUUCUAUAGCAGCAUUCAUGACCGAGUCCACCAAGUCCCCCACAUUUAUAUAGCAGCAUUCAUGACCGAGUCCACGUACUCUUCCUGGUCCACAUUAUAGCUGUAUUCAGACUGAGUCCCAUUUCUAUAGCAGCAUUCAUGACCGAGUCCACCAAGUCCCCCACAUUUAUAUAGCAGCAUUCAUGACCGAGUCCACGUACUCUUCCUGGUCCACAUUAUAGCUGUAUUCAGACUGAGUCCCAUUUCUAUAGCAGCAUUCAUGACCGAGUCCACCAAGUCCCCCACAUUUAUAUAGCAGCAUUCAUGACCGAGUCCACGUACUCUUCCUGGUCCACAUUAUAGCUGUAUUCAGACUGAGUCCCAUUUCUAUAGCAGCAUUCAUGACCGAGUCCACCAAGUCCCCCACAUUUAUAUAGCAGCAUUCAUGACCGAGUCCACGUACUCUUCCUGGUCCACAUUAUAGCUGUAUUCAGACUGAGUCCCAUUUCUAUAGCAGCAUUCAUGACCGAGUCCACCAAGUCCCCCACAUUUAUAUAGCAGCAUUCAUGACCGAGUCCACGUACUCUUCCUGGUCCACAUUAUAGCUGUAUUCAGACUGAGUCCCAUUUCUAUAGCAGCAUUCAUGACCGAGUCCACCAAGUCCCCCACAUUUAUAUAGCAGCAUUCAUGACCGAGUCCACGUACUCUUCCUGGUCCACAUUAUAGCUGUAUUCAGACUGAGUCCCAUUUCUAUAGCAGCAUUCAUGACCGAGUCCACCAAGUCCCCCACAUUUAUAUAGCAGCAUUCAUGACCGAGUCCACGUACUCUUCCUGGUCCACAUUAUAGCUGUAUUCAGACUGAGUCCCAUUUCUAUAGCAGCAUUCAUGACCGAGUCCACCAAGUCCCCCACAUUUAUAUAGCAGCAUUCAUGACCGAGUCCACGUACUCUUCCUGGUCCACAUUAUAGCUGUAUUCAGACUGAGUCCCAUUUCUAUAGCAGCAUUCAUGACCGAGUCCACCAAGUCCCCCACAUUUAUAUAGCAGCAUUCAUGACCGAGUCCACGUACUCUUCCUGGUCCACAUUAUAGCUGUAUUCAGACUGAGUCCCAUUUCUAUAGCAGCAUUCAUGACCGAGUCCACCAAGUCCCCCACAUUUAUAUAGCAGCAUUCAUGACCGAGUCCACGUACUCUUCCUGGUCCACAUUAUAGCUGUAUUCAGACUGAGUCCCAUUUCUAUAGCAGCAUUCAUGACCGAGUCCACCAAGUCCCCCACAUUUAUAUAGCAGCAUUCAUGACCGAGUCCACGUACUCUUCCUGGUCCACAUUAUAGCUGUAUUCAGACUGAGUCCCAUUUCUAUAGCAGCAUUCAUGACCGAGUCCACCAAGUCCCCCACAUUUAUAUAGCAGCAUUCAUGACCGAGUCCACGUACUCUUCCUGGUCCACAUUAUAGCUGUAUUCAGACUGAGUCCCAUUUCUAUAGCAGCAUUCAUGACCGAGUCCACCAAGUCCCCCACAUUUAUAUAGCAGCAUUCAUGACCGAGUCCACGUACUCUUCCUGGUCCACAUUAUAGCUGUAUUCAGACUGAGUCCCAUUUCUAUAGCAGCAUUCAUGACCGAGUCCACCAAGUCCCCCACAUUUAUAUAGCAGCAUUCAUGACCGAGUCCACGUACUCUUCCUGGUCCACAUUAUAGCUGUAUUCAGACUGAGUCCCAUUUCUAUAGCAGCAUUCAUGACCGAGUCCACCAAGUCCCCCACAUUUAUAUAGCAGCAUUCAUGACCGAGUCCACGUACUCUUCCUGGUCCACAUUAUAGCUGUAUUCAGACUGAGUCCCAUUUCUAUAGCAGCAUUCAUGACCGAGUCCACCAAGUCCCCCACAUUUAUAUAGCAGCAUUCAUGACCGAGUCCACGUACUCUUCCUGGUCCACAUUAUAGCUGUAUUCAGACUGAGUCCCAUUUCUAUAGCAGCAUUCAUGACCGAGUCCACCAAGUCCCCCACAUUUAUAUAGCAGCAUUCAUGACCGAGUCCACAUACUCUUCUUGCUCCACAUUAUAGCUGUAUUCAGACUGAGUCCAAGUCCCCCACAUUUCUAUAGCAGCAUGCAUGACCGAGUCCACAUACUCUUCUUGCUCCACAUUAUAGCUGUAUUCAGAUUGAGUCCACGAGUCCCCCACAUUUCUAUAGCAGCUUUCAUGAUCGAGUCCACAUACUCUUCUUGCUCCACAUUAUAGCUGUAUUCAGACUGAGUCCACGAGUCCCCCACAUUUAUAUAGCAGCAUUCAUGGCCGAGUCCACGUACUCUUCCUGGUCCACAUUAUAGCUGUAUUCAGAUUGAGUCCACGAGUCCCCCACAUUUCUAUAGGUAUUCAGACUGAGUCUACAAGACCCCCACAUUUCUAUAGGUAUUCAGACUGAGUCUACAAGACCCCCACAUUUCUAUAGGUAUUCAGACUGAGUCUACAAGACCCCCACAUUUCUAUAGGUAUUCAGACUGAGUCUACAAGACCCCCACAUUUCUAUAGGUAUUCAGACUGAGUCUACAAGACCCCCACAUUUCUAUAGGUAUUCAGACUGAGUCUACAAGACCCCCACAUUUCUAUAGGUAUUCAGACUGAGUCUACAAGACCCCCACAUUUCUAUAGGUAUUCAGACUGAGUCUACAAGACCCCCACAUUUCUAUAGGUAUUCAGACUGAGUCUACAAGACCCCCACAUUUCUAUAGGUAUUCAGACUGAGUCUACAAGACCCCCACAUUUCUAUAGGUAUUCAGACUGAGUCUACAAGACCCCCACAUUUCUAUAGGUAUUCAGACUGAGUCUACAAGACCCCCACAUUUCUAUAGGUAUUCAGACUGAGUCUACAAGACCCCCACAUUUCUAUAGGUAUUCAGACUGAGUCUACAAGACCCCCACAUUUCUAUAGGUAUUCAGACUGAGUCCACAAGUCCCCCACCUUUCUAUAGCAACAUUCAUGCUUGCUCCACAUUAUAGCUGUUAUUCAGACUGAGUCCACAAGUACCCCACAUUUCUAUAGCAGCAUUCAUGACCGAGUCCACAUACUCUUCUUGCACCACAUUAUAGCUGUAUUCAGACUGAGUCCACAAGUCCCCCACAUUUAUAUAGCAGCAUUCAUGACCGAGUCCACGUACUCUUCCUGCUCCACAUUAUAGCUGUAUUCAGACUGAGUCCACAAGUCCCCCACAUUUCUAUAGCAGCAUUCAUGACCGUGUCCACUUACUCUUCUUGCUCCACAUUAUAGCUGUAUUCAGACUGAAUCCACAAGUCCCCCACAUUUCUAUAGCAGCAUUCAUGACCGAGUCCACAUACUCUUCUUGCUCCACAUUAUAGUUGUAUUCAGACUGAGUCCAAGUCUCCCACAUUUCUAUAGCAGCAUUCAUGACCGAGUCCACAUACUCUUCUUGCUCCACAUUAUAGCUGUAUUCAGAUUGAGUCCACCAGUCCCCCACAUUUAUAUAGCAGCAUUCAUGACCGAUUCCACGUACUCUUCCUGCUCCACAUUAUAGCUGUAUUCAGACUGAGUCCAAGUCCCCCACAUUUCUAUAACAGCAUUCAUGACCGAGUCCACAUACUCUUCUUGCUCCACAUUAUAGCUGUAUUCAGACUGAGUCCACAAGUCCCCCACAUUUCUAUAGUAGCAUUCGUGACCGAGUCCACAUACUCUUCUUGCUCCACAUUAUAGCUGUAUUCAGACUGAGUCCACAAGUCCCCCACAUUUCUAUAGUAGCAUUCGUGACCGAGUCCACAUACUCUUCUUGCUCCACAUUAUAGCUGUAUUCAAACUGAGUCCAAGUCCCCCACAUUUCUAUAGCAGCAUUCAUGACCGAGUCCACAUACUCUUCUUGCUCCAUAUUAUAGCUAUAUUCAGACACAGUCCACAAGUCCCCCACAUUUCUAUAGCAGCAUUCAUGACCGAGUCCACUUACUCUUCUUGCUCCACAUUAUAGCUGUAUACAGACUGAGUCCAAGUCGCCCACAUUUCUAUAGCAGCAUUCAUGACCGAGUCUACAUACUCUUCUUGCUCCACAUUAUAGCUGUUAUUCAGACUGAGUCCACAAGUCCCCCACAUUUCUAUAGCAGCAUUCAUGACCGAGUCCACAUACUCUUCUUGCUCCACAUUAUAGCUGUAUUCAGACUGAGUACAAGUCUCCCACAUUUCUAUAGCAGCAUUCAUGACCGAGUCCACAUACUCUUCUUGCUCUACAUUAUAGCUGUAUUCAGACUAAGUCCACAAGUCCCCCACCUUUCUAUAGCAACAUUCAUGACCGAGUCCACAUACUCUUCUUGCUCCACAUUAUAGCUGUAUUCAGACUGAGUCCAAGUCCAACACAUUUCUAUAGCAGCAUUCAUGACCGAGUCCACAUACUCUUCUUGCUCCACAUUAUAGCUGUAUUCAGACUAAGUCCAUAAGUCCCCCACCUUUCUAUAGCAACAUUCAUGACCGAGUCCACAUACUCUUCUUGCUCCACAUUAUAGCUGUAUUUAGACUGAGUCCAAGUCCCACACAUUUCUAUAGCAGCAUUCAUGACCGAGUCCACAUACUCUUCUUGCUCCAUAUUAUAGCUAUAUUCAGACUGAGUCCACAAGUCCCCCACAUUUCUACAGCAGCAUUCAUGACCGAGUCCACAUACUCUUCUUGCUCCACAUUAUAACUGUAUUCAGACUGAGUCCAAGUCCCCCACAUUUCUAUAGCAGCAUUCAUGACCGAGUCCACAUACUCUUCUUGCUCCACAUUAUAGCUGUAUUCAGACUGAAUCCACAAGUCCCCCACAUUUCUAUAGCAGCAUUCAUGACCGAGUCUACAUACUCUUCUUGCUCCACAUUAUAGCUGUAUUCAGACUGAGUCCACGAGUCCCCCACAUUUAUAUAGCAGCAUUCAUGACCGAGUCCACGUACUCUUCCUGCUCCACAUUAUAGCUAUAUUCAGACUGAGUCCAAGUCCCCCACAUUUCUAUAGCUGCAUUCAUGACAGAGUCCACAUACUCUUCUUGCUCCAUGUUAUAGCUAUAUUCAGACUGAGUCCAUAAGUCUCCCACAUUUCUAUAGCAGCAUUCAUGACCGAGUCCACUAACUCUUCUUGCUCCACAUUAUAAUUGUAUUCAGACUGAGUCCACAAGUCCCCCACAUUUCUAUAGCAGCAUUCAUGACCGACUCAACAUACUCUUCUUGCUCCACAUUAUAGCUAUAUUCAGACUGAGUCCAAGUCCCCUACAUUUCUAUAGCAGCAUUCAUGACCGAGUCUACAUACUCUUCUUGCUCCACAUUAUAGCUGUAAUUCAGACUGAGUCCACAAGUCUCCCACAUUUCUAUAGCAUCAUUCAUGACCGAGUCCACAUACUCUUCUUGCUCCACAUUAUAGCUGUAUUCAGACUGAGUCCAAGUCCCCCACAUUUCUAUAGCAGCAUUCAUGACCGAGUCCGCAUACUCUUCUUGCUCCACAUUAUAGCCGUAUUCAGACUGAGUCCAAGUCUCCCACUUUUCUAUAGCAGCAUUCAUGACCGAGUCCACAUACUCUUCUUGCCUCACAUUAUAGCUGUAUUCAGACUGAGUCCACAAGUUCCCCACAUUUAUAUAGCAGCAUUCAUGACCGAGUCAACGUACUCUUCCUGCUCCACAUUAUAGCUAUAUUCAGACUGAGUCCAAGUCCCCCACAUUUCUAUAGCAGCAUUCAUGACAGAGUCCACAUACUCUUCUUGCUCCAUAUUAUAGCUAUAUUCAGACUGAGUCCACAAGUCCCCCACAUUUCUAUAGCAGCAUUCAUGACCGAGUCCACUUACUCUUCUUGCUCCAUAUUAUAACUGUAUUCAGACUGAGUCCACAAGUCCCCCACAUUUCUAUAGCAGCAUUCAUGACCGAGUCAACAUACUCUUCUUGCUCCACAUUAUAGCUAUAUUCAGUCUGAGUCCAAGUCCCCUACGUUUCUAUAGCAGCAUUCAUGACCGAGUCUACAUACUCUUCUUGCUCCACAUUAUAGCUGUCAUUCAGACUGAGUCCACAAGUCUCCCACAUUUCUAUAGCAUCAUUCAUGACCGAGCCCACAUACUCUUCUUGCUCCACAUUAUAGCUGUAUUCAGACUGAGUCCAAGUCCCCCACAUUUCUAUAGCAGCAUUCAUGACCGAGUCCACAUACUCUUCUUGCUCCACAUUAUAGUUGUAUUCAGACUGAGUCCACAAGUCCCCCACAUUUAUAUAGCAGCAUUCAUGACCGAGUCCACGUACUCUUCCUGCUCCACAUUAUAGCUGUAUUCAGACUGAGUCCAAGUCCCCCACAUUUCUAUAGCAGCAUUCGUGACCGAGUCCACAUACUCUUCUUGCUCCACAUUAUAGCUGUAUUCAGACUGAGUCCACAAGUCCCCCACAUUUAUAUAGCAGCAUUCAUGACCGAGUCCACAUACUCUUCUUGCUCCACAUUAUAGUUGUAUUCAGACUGAGUCCAAGUCCCCCACAUUUCUAUAGCAGCAUUCAUGACCGAGUCCACAUACUCUUCUUGCUCCACAUUAUAGCUGUAUUCAGACUGAGUCCACGAGUCCCCCACAUUUAUAUAGCAGCAUUCAUGACCGAGUCCACGUACUCUUCCUGCUCCAUAUUAUAGCUGUAUUCAGAUUGAGUCCAAGUCCCUCAUAUUUCUAUAGCAGCAUUAAUGACCGAGUCCACAUACUUUUCUUGCUCCACAUUAUAGCUGUAUUCAGACUGAGUCCACAAGUCCCUUACAUUUUUAUAGUUGCAUUCAUGACCGAGUCCACAUACUCUUCUUGCUCCACAUUAUAGCUGUAUUCAGACUGAGUCCAAGUCCCCCACAUUUCUAUAGCAGCAUUCAUGACCGACUCCACAUACUCUUCUUGCUCCAUAUUAUAUCUAUAUUCAAACUGAGUCCACAAGUCCCCCACAUUUCUAUAGCAGCAUUCAUGGCCGAGUCCACAUACUCCUCUUGCCUCACAUUAUAGCUGUAUUCAGACUGAGUCCACAAGUCUCCCACAUUUAUAUAGCAGCAUUCAUGACCGAGUCCACGUACUCUUCCUGCUCCACAUUAUAGCUAUAUUCAGACUGAAUCCACAAGUCCCCUACAUUUCUAUAGCAGCAUUCAUGACCGAGUCCACAUACUCUUCUUGCUCCACAUUAUAGCUGUAUUCAGACUGAGUCCAUGUCCCCCACAUUUCUAUAGCAGCAUUCAUGACCGAGUCCACAUACUCUUCUUGCUCCACAUUAUAGUUGUAUUCAGACUGAGUCCACAAGUCUCCCACAUUUCUAUAGUAGCAUUCAUGACCGAGUCCACAUACUCUUCUUGCUCCACAUUAUAGCUGUAUUCAGACUGAGUCCAAGUCCCCCACAUUUCUAUAGCAGCAUUCAUGACCGAGUCCACAUACUCUUCUUGCUCCACAUUAUAGCUGUAUUCAGACUGAGUCUACAAGACCCCCACAUUUCUAUAGCAGCAUUCAUGACUGAGUCCACAUACUCUUCUAGAAGCCGAUUCCACCAUGCCAACUUCCGGCACUUGAAUUCUUCUAGAAUGUUUUGGAAAAUAGUGGAAUCGAAGGAUGAAGAAAAGGAGAGGGUUUCAAUGAGAGAGAUGUAGAAAUGGAGGGAGUGGGAAUAGCUAGGUUGAGAGUGAGCCCAGUGGAAGAAGCGCGUGGCGAGGAAGGGUUGGUUGGUGAGGGAGCGGAGGGUAUGGGAGAUGAAGUUGGGGGAGAGAGUCACUACAGGAAACACGGAGACUGAGUCCACAUACUCUUAGAAGCUGAUUCCACCAUGCCAACUGCGGCAAAGCUCCUGAGCAAGGAGUUAACGGCGGCGGCAGUUAAUUUAAUCUUCUGGCACUUGAAACACGGAGGAUAGCGGCAACAAAUUGUUUGUGGUUUUUCUAUUUGCUGCAAUUUGCCAAGAUAAUUGUGCGAUGAGGUUUUCGAUAUCGAGAAGGCCCCUCGUGACCAUCUGCAUCCUGAGUAUGCGUAUGAGGAGACUUGUGUUUUUCUCUUGCGGAAGGAGAAGAAGAAGCAGUGAUUUCGGUAAGCUUUCUAAAUGAAUUUUUAGAAAUGCUUGAACUUGUUCACUCCUAUGUCCUCCAAAUUGAAUUUACUAGUUGAGUUUUACAAUUCAAGUUUUGUAUACAUUAGAAACUCAUUGCGAUGAUUUUGAUCAUUUUCAAGGAUGUUUUGUCCCCUCUUGCAUAAGUACCUGUAAUGCUGCAAAAAUGAGCUAUAGCUUCUUUUCACGAGACAAUUCUUAAUUAACAUUAAUAACUAUUCCGGUUUGUUCCUUUUUGUGAUUAGAGGUCUGCAAUUAUCCUUUCCUGAAGUGAUAUUUUCAAUUGAUUUAAUAUUUUUAUUAUGUUUUGGGUUGUUUUGUGGCCAUUGCAAGAAAGUAAAUAAAUCCUGGCCUUUUGCUGUUGUUUUCAGUUUCAAAUUUGUCACAAUGAAAUUAAAAAGCAAAACCGAAAAGUGCGCCGUGGAAAAGAAGAGGAAAAGGAAGCCGGAAAAAAUUGGUGAUGUUGAGAUAGAUAGUAUAUUGAAUGCCGAAGGUAUAAUAUUUUGAUAGAUGUUUCUUCUUCCCCUUUUUGAACUGUUAUCAUGUCGCAUUUAUUUAUUAAUGAAACAACAGGCUUGCUGUAUUGUUUCAGUGGAUAAUGGAAUGCAAGUUGGAAAGGAGAAAAAGGAUAAAUCUUCUAUCAAUAGAAAGAGGAAGAAUAAAGAUAAAAAUCGUCGCAAGGGUGAAGUUGAUUUAGAAGAGUAUAGUGGUGAGCUAGUGUCAAUAAGCGUUGAAUUUUAUUUAAAUGGUUCGGCAAAGUGCCAUAUGUUGAUAUUAAAUUUGUUUCCACUUCUAUUAGAUGGGAUUGUUCAUGACCAUCCUUCUGAAGCUCAAGAAAUCAAAGAUACUGAGGAGCAUGGAGAUACUGAUACUAGAGCAGCCAUCAAAUCUCAUAAUUAACAAUUUGGUUUUAUUUAUUGGAAAUAAAAUGGCCCUUCUGAACUUCCAUUUAUUUUUAGUUACUCAUGGAAUUCGUCAUUCUCUUGUAGGUAAAAAGAAAUCUAAAAAGAAGAGGAAAAAGGAAGCUAGUUUUGUAAAUGAGGUGGAAAAUUCUCCAAAAAAGGAGGGGACCCUGAUCAGGAUCAAAUUUAUGUUAUUUCUUCUGGAGAUGAGGACUUCUCAAAAGGAAUGAUAAGUAUGAAUUUGUAAAUGGAUUGGGAUUAGUUUGCAUUUUUUUAGAAAAAUUGUGCCCAUUGAUCUUAUAUUUGCAUGAUUCAUGCAUGGAUAAUGGACUUAUAGCUUAAGCAUUUGUGGUCGUAACAUGAUUAAUAUUUAUCUAUCCGACUAUUUACUGGUCCUGAAGCAAGUUGGAUUCAAAUUCAUCAUUUUUAUUUUUCUGCAUUGAUGUCUGCUAUGCCUACUAUUUCUGACGUGGUUACUUAAAACUGCAGAAUGGAUCAGGGAAUACCAUCAAAGUAGACAAGGGCUGAAUAUAUUGUAGGAGCAAGUUGACGAAUUCAUAACUGUUCAUGAGGAAAACCUGGAGCAGGUAAAAUGUUUAAUAACCCUCUUGCAUUUAUUUUCCUAUAGUAGUUUCAAGGCUUUGAAAAAUAACAAUUGGAGCUAGUGGUAGACUUUAACAAGUUCCAAUUGUUAAUCCCUUCUGUUAAAAACUACACAUUUGAAAUGUAUAUCUGUUCUCCAUAAUCUGGCUGAAUUCUAAGCCAUUUUUUAAAUAUUGUUAAAUCAUAUCAAGUUAUUCUCUUCCAAUGAUAUUUUGAUAUUUAACAAUCCAUUACCAAAUGUAAGAUCUUAACAUUAAUUUACUCCAUAUCUUUGGUUUUCAAUGUUAUGCACAAUUCAGGAAAGGAAAGAGAGAGAAGAACGUGCAGCAGAAGGGGGUUGGACUGUUGUUGUACAUCACAAGGGUAGAAAGAAAGCGGAGUAGCUGUGGGAUCUGUUGCACAGGCUGCAGUGGAGAACAAAAUGGCAAAAAUGAAGAAUAAAGAAGUGAAGGGAAUUUUCUACCGGUUUCAAAAGAAAGAAGCCUAGAGGAAUGGUAUGAGCUGCAUUGAAUUUAUCAUAUCACUUUCUAAAACAAAUAGUCUAAUCAAAUGGUGUAUGCAGAAGCUUCCUUACUUUUAUUUUGGAUUUCUAAGUGGUAACUUUGUACAGGAUUUGUUGAAUUUGCACCUUAUUUUUAUUGAAAUAAAUAAUUUUUGCUUUUCUUGCAGAGAUCAUGAUGCUGCAGAGCAAAUUUGAAGACGACAAAAAGAGACUGCAGCAAUUAAGAGCUGCCAGAAAAUUUAGACCUUAUUAACAGUUUUCUAGAACACGGGGAUCCAAUUUUUUUCAUUUACCCUUUGGGAUCAAUUCCAACCCUAGGGUGUCUUCCCAUGAUCCCAAAGGGUAAAUGAAAAAAAUUGGAUCCCUGUGUUCUAGAAAACUGUUAAUAAGGUCUAAAUUUUCUGGCAGCUCUUAAUUGUUGCAGUCUCUUUUUGUCGUCUUCAAAUUUGCUCUGCAGCAUCAUGAUCUCUGCAAGAAAAGCAAAAAUUAUUUAUCUCAAUAAAAAUAAGUGCAAAUUCAAAAAAUCCUGUACAAAGUUACCACUUAGAAAUUCAAAAUAAAAGUAAGGAAGCUUCUGCAUACACCAUUUGAUUAGACUAUUUGUUUUAAAAAGUGAUAUGAUAAAUUCAAUGCAGCUCAUACCAUUCUUCUGGGCUUCUUUCUUUUGAAAUCGGUAGAAAUUUCCCUUCACUUCUUUAUUCUUCGUUUUUUCCAUUUUGUUCUCCACUACAGCCUGUGCAACAGAUCCCACAGCUAUUCCGCUUUCUUCCUACCCUUGUGAUGUACAACAACAGUCCAACCCCCUUCUGCUGCACGUUCUUCUCUCUCUUUCCUUUCCUGAAUUGUGCAUAACAUUGGAAACCAAAGAUAUGGAGUAAAUUAAUGUUAAGAUCUUACAUUUGGUAAUGGAUUGUUAAAUAUCAAAAUAUCAUUGGAAGAGAAUAACUUGAUAUGAUUUAACAAUAUUUAAAAAAUGGCUUAGAAUUCAGCCAGAUUAUGGUGAACAGAUAUACAUUUCAAAUGUGUAGUUUUUAACAGAAGGGAUUAACAAUUGGAACUUGUUAAAGUCUACCGCUGGCUCCAAUUGUUAUUUUUCAAAGCCUUGAAACUACUAUAGGGAAAUAAAUGCAAGAGGGUUAUUAAACAUUUUACCUGCUCCAGGUUUUCCUCAUGAACAGUUAUGAAUUCGUCAAUUUGCUCCUGCAAUAUAUUCAGCCCUUGUCUACUUUGAUGGUAUUCCCUGAUCCACUCUGCAGUUUUAAGUAACCAUGUCAGAAAUAGUAGGCAUAGCAGACAUCAAUGCAGAAAAAUAAAAAUGAUGAAUUUGAAUCCAACUUGCUUCAGGACCAGUAAAUAGUCGGAUAGAUAAAUAUUAAUCAUGUUACGACCACAAAUGCUUAAGCUAUAAGUCCAUUAUCCAUGCAUGAAUCAUGCAAAUAUAAGAUCAAUGGGCACAAUUUUUCUAAAAAAAUGCAAACUAAUCCCAAUCCAUUUGCAAAUUCAUACUUCUCAUUCCUUUUGAGAAGUCUUCAUCUCCAGAAGAAAUAACAUAAAUUUGAUCCUGAUCAGGGUCCCCUCUUUUUUUGGAGAAUUUUCCACCUCAUUUACAAAACUAGCUUCCUUUUUCCUCUUCUUUUUAGAUUUCUUUUUACCUACAAGAGAAUGACGAAUUCCAUGAGUAACUAAAAAUAAAUGGAAGUUCAGAAGGGCCAUUUUAUUUCCAAUAAAUAAAACCAAAUUGUUAAUUAUGGGAUUUGAUGGCUGCUCCAGUAUCAGUAUCAGUAUCUCCAUGCUCCUCAGUAUCUUUGAUUUCUUGAGCUUCAGAAGGAUGGUCAUGAACAAUCCCAUCUAAUAGAAGUGGAAACAAAUUUAAUAUCAACAUAUGGCACUUUGCCGAAUCAUUUAAAUAAAAUUCAACGCUUAUUGACACUAGCUCACCACUAUACUCUUCUAAAUCAACUUCACCCUUGCGACGAUUUUUAUCUUUAUUCUUCCUCUUUCUAUUGAUAGAAGAUUUCUCCUUUUUCUCCUUUCCAACUUGCAUUCCAUUAUCCACUGAAACAGUAUAGUAAGCCAGUUGUUUCAUUAAUAAAUAAAUGCGACAUGAUAACAGUUCAAAAAGGGGAAGAAGAAACAUCUAUCAAAAUAUUAUACCUUCGGCAUUCAAUGUACUAUCUAUCUCAACAUCACCAAUUUUUUCCGGCUUCCUUUUCCUCUUCUUUUCCACGGCACACUUUUCGGUUUUGCUUUUUAAUUUCAUUGUGACAAAUUUGAAACUGAAAACAACAGCAAAAGGCCAGGUUUUAUUUACUUUCUUGCAAUGGCCACAAAACAACCCAAAACAUAAUAAAAACAUUAAAUCAAUUGAAAAUACCACUUCAGGAAAGGAUAAUUGCAGACCUCUAAUCACAAAAAGGAACAAAUCAGAAUAGUUAUUAAUGUUAAUUAAGAAUUGGCUCGUGAAAAGAAGCUAUAGCUCAUUUUUGCAGCAUUACAGGUACUUAUGCAAGAGGGGACAAAACAUCCUUGAAAAUGAUCAAAAUCAUCGCAAUGAGUUUCUAAUGUAUACAAAACUUGAAUUGUAAAACUCAACUAGUAAAUUCGAUUUGGAGGACAUAGGAGUGAACAAGUUCAAGCAUUUCUAAAAAUUCAUUUAGAAAGCUUACCGAAAUCACUGCUUCUUCUUCUCCUUCCGCAAGAGAAAAACACCAGUCUCCUCGUACGCAUACUCAAGAUGCAGGUGGUCACGAGGGGCCUUCUCGAUAUCGAAAACCUCAUCGCACAAUUAUAUUGGCAAAUUGCAACAGAUAGAAAAACCGCAAACAAUUUGUCGCCGCUAUCCUCCGGGUUUCAAGUGCCGGAAGUUUAAAUUAACAGCCGUCACCGUUAACUCCUUGCUCAGGAGCUUCGCCGCAAUUGGCAUGGUGGAAUCAGCUUCUAAGAGUAUGUGGACUCAGUCUCCGUGUUUUCUGUAGUGACUCUCUCCCCCAACUUCAACUCCCAUACCCUCCGCUCCCUCACCAACCAACCCUUCCUUGCCACGUGCUUCUUCCACUGGGCUCACUCUCAACCUAGCUAUUUUCACUCCCUCCAUUCCUACGUCUCUCUCAUCGAAACCCUCUCCUUUUCUUCAUCAUUCGAUUCCACUAUUUUCCAAAACAUUCUAGAAGAAUUCAAGUGCCAGAAGUUGGCAUGGUGGAAUCGGCAUCUAGAAGAGUAUGUGGACUCAGUCAUGAACGCUGCUAUAGAAAUGUGGGGGACUUGUGGACUCAGUCUGAAUACAGCUAUAAUGUGGAGCAAGAAGAGUAUGUCGACUCGGUCAUGAAUGCUGCUAUAGAAAUGUAGGGGACUUGGACUCAGUCUGAAUACAGCUAUAAUGUUGAGCAAGAAGAGUAUGUGGACUCGGUCAUGAAUGCUGCUAUAGAAAUGUGGGGGACAUGUGGACUCAGUCUGAAUACAACUAUAAUGUGAAGCAAGAAGAGUAUGUGGACUCGGUUAUGAAUACUGCUAUAGAAAUGUGGGGGACUUGGGGACUCAGUCUGAAUACAGCAAUAAUGUGGAGCAAGAAGAGUAUGCGGACUCGGUCAUGAAGGCUACUAUAGAAAUAUGGGGGACUUGUGGACUCAGUCUGAAUACAGCUAUAAUGUGAAGCAAGAAGAGUAUGUGGACUCGGUCUUGAAUGCUGCUAUAGAAAUGUGGGGAACUUGGACUCAGUCUGAAUACAGCUAUAAUGUGGAGCAAGAAGAGUAUGUGGACUCGGUCAUGAAUGCUGCUAUAGAAAUGUGAGGGACUUGUGGACUCAGUCUGAAUACAGCUAUAAUGUGGAGCAAGAAGAGUAUGUGAACUCGGUCGUGAAUGCUGCUAUAGAAAUGUGGGGGACUUGGACUCAGUCUGAAUACAACUAUAAUGUGGAACAAGAAGAGUAUGUAGACUCGGUCAUGAAUGUUGCUAUAGAAAUGUAAGGGACUUGUGGACUCAGUCUGAAUACAGCUAUAAUGUAGAGAAAGAAGAGUAUGUAGACUCGGUCAUGAAUGCUGCUAUAGAAAUGUGGAGGACUUGGACUCAGUCUGAAUACAGUUAUAAUGUGGAGCAUGAAGAGUAUGUGGACUCGAUCAUGAAUGCUACUAUAGAAAUGUGGGGGACUUGUAGACUCAGUCUGAAUACAGCUAUAAUAUGGAGCAAGAAGAGUAUGUGGAUUCGGCAUGAAUGCUGUUAUAGAAAUGUGGGGGACUUGGACUCAGUCUGAAUACAGCUAUAAUGUUGAGCAAGAAGAGUAUGUGGAAUCGGUCAUAAAUGCUGCUAUAGAAAUGUGGGGGACUUGUGGACUCAGUCUGAAUACAGCUAUAAUGUGGAGCAAGAAGAGUAUGUAGACUCGGUCAUGAAUACUGCUAUAGAAAUGUGGGAGACUUGUGGACUCAGUCUGAAUACAGCUAUAAUGUGAAGCAAGAAGAGUAUGUAGACUCGGUCAUGAAUGAUGCUAUAGAAAUGUGGGGGACUUGUAGACUCAGUCUGAAUACAGCUAUAAUGUGGAGCAAGAAGAGUAUGUGGACUCGGUCAUGAAUGUUGCUAUAGAAAUGUGGGGGACUUGUGGACUCAGUCUGAAUACAGCUAUAAAUUUGAGCAAGAAGAGUAUGUGGACUCGAUCAUGAAUGCUGCUAUAGAAAUGUGGGAAACUUGGACUCAGUCUGAAUACAGCUAUAAUGUGGAGCAAGAAGAGUAUGUGGUCUCGGUCAUGAAUGCUGCUAUAAAAAUGUGGGAGACUUGUGGAUUUAGUCUGAAUACAGCUAUAAUGUGGAGCAAGAAGAGUAUGUGGACUCGGUCAUGAAUGCUGCUAUAGAAAUGUGGGGGACUUGGACUCAGUCUGAAUACAACUAUAAUGUGGAGCAAGAAGAGUAUGUGGACUCGGUCAUGAAUGCUGCUAUUGAAAUGUAAGGGACCUGUGGACUCAGUCUGAAUACAGCUAUAAUGUAGAGCAAGAAGAGUAUGUGGACUCGGUCAUGAAUGCUGUUAUAGAAAUGUGGGGGACUUUGACUCAGUCUGAAUACAGCUAUAAUGUGGAGCAAGAAGAGUAUGUGGACUCGGUCAUGAAUGCUGCUAUAGAAAUGUGGGGGACUUGUGGACUCAGUCUGAAUACAGCUAUAAUAUGGAGCAAGAAGAGUAUGUGGACUCGGUCAUGAAUGCUGCUAUAGAAACGUGCGAGACUUGGACUCAGUCUGAAUACAGUUAUAAUGUGGAGCAAGAAGAGUAUGUGGACUCGGUCAUGAAUGCUGCUAUAGAAAUGUGGGGGACUUGAACUCAGUCUGAAUACAGCUUUAAUGUUGAGCAAGAAGUGUAUGUGGACUCGGUCAUGAAUGCUGCUAUAGAAAUGUGGGGAACUUGUGGACUCAGUCUGAAUACAGCUAUACUGUAGAGCAAGAAGAGUAUGUGGACUCGGUCAUGAAUACUGCUAUAGAAAUGUGGGGGACUUGUGGACUCAGUCUGAAUACAGCUAUAAUAUGGAGCAAGAAGAGUAUGUGGACUCGGUCAUAAAUGCUGCUAUAGAAAUGUGUGGGACUUGGACUCAGUCUGAAUACAGCUAUAAUGUGGUGCAAGAAGAGUACGUGGACUCGGUCAUGAAUGCUACUAUAGAAAUGUGGGGGACUUGUGGACUCAGUCUGAAUACAGCUAUAAUGUGGAGCAAGAAGAGUAUGUGGACUCGGUCAUGAAUGCUGCUAUAGAAAUGUGGAGGACUUGGACUCAGUCUGAAUACAGCUAUAAUUUGGAGCAAGAAGAGUACGUGGACUCAAUCAUGAAUGCUGCUAUAGAAAUGUGGGGGACUUGGACUCAGUCUGAAUACAGCUAUAAUGUGGAGCAAGAAGAGUACGUGGACUCGGUCAUGAAUGCUGCUAUAGAAAUAUGGGGGACUUGUGGACUCAGUCUGAAUACAGCUAUAAUGUGGAGCGUGGACUUGUAGACUUGAAGACUCAGUCUCAAUCAUUAUGAAUAUAGCUAGAAAUGUGGAGCAUGGACUUGUGGACUCAGUCUCACUAAGUGCUACCAAAUUUGCUAUAUAUAUACUCAUAUGUUAGGUUUUCAAUAUGCAAACUAAAAUUUUUCAAAUCUAAAACAUGAAUUUUCAAUAUAUUCAAAUCCUUUUCAUUUAUUUACUAUUAAUAUGUAAACGCAUAUAUAAUUCAAAAUUCCUUCCUUGUGAUGAGAAGGAUAAAAAAGUGUUACUUAUGUUUAAAUACGGAGUUAUUGAUCCCUUCGGAGUACUUUCUUCAUGGUCUGCAAAACAAAAUUGUUGUCAGUGGCCAGGGAUGCUCUGUGAAAAUACUACUGGCAAAGUCACGGGGCUCAAUCUUACUUGUCCUCGAAUUUAUCCUGUUUAUGGUAAUGAUAACAAACUGCAUUGCCUAUCAGGUGAGCUCAACGUCUCUUAUUUGUUUGAGUUUUAAUUUCUAAGUUCUUUGAAGUUGGGCAACAAUGACUUCAGCAUCAUCCAUUAUCAUGGUCAGGGUGAAAACUCUUCCAACAACCUCCACCACCUAGAUUUGUCAUAUAAUGACAAUCUUAAAGCUGAUCAUAUGCUUCAUUGGAUUUCUAAUCUUUCCUCUCUGCAGUAUCUGGACCUCACUGGCAUUAAUCUUCAAGAGAAAACUAAUUGGCUUCAAUUAGUUACCUUGCUUCCUUCUCUUUCACAGUUAUAUUUGCGGCAUUGCGGACUUUGGGACAUUUAUCCAUCCCUGCAAUACGCCAAUUUUACUGCACUUGAAGUCCUUGAUCUUUCCAACAAUGAUUUUUUUCCAGAUAAGUUACCAAACUGGAUUUUUAAUUUCAGUUGUAGAAUAGCAGCUCUUAUUCUCUCAGAAAAUUCAUUGCAAGGCCAACUUCCUCGAACAUUUCCACACUUUCAAAGCCUUGAGUCCUUGCUUUUGGAUCAAAAUGCUCUCAGUGGAUCCAUUCCAAAUUGGGUGGGUCAACUUGAGAAACUAAACAAAUUAGUUAUUUCUAGAAAUUUAUUUUCAGGUAUUUUUCCUACAUUUUUAAAAAAUUUGUCAUCUUUGACUUGUUUAUCACUUGAAUCAAAUUCUUUUGCUGGAAAUAUUUCUAAAAAUUGUUUUCACCCCUUUUCAAACCUAGAAUAUUUAGGUUUUGGCUCCCAAUCAUUGUUGUUUGACUUUGAUCCUCAAUGGAUCCCUCAUUUUCAACUCCAAACUUUGAUAUUGGAUGCUGUGAGGCCCAAACUUCCUUCAUGGAUAUAUAGACAGGAUUCGCUGCCACUUUUAAACAUUUUGAACUCAAGAAUCCCAUUAGAACCAAGUGAAAAGUUUUGGAAAUUUAUUUCGAAUCAAGUUGGGAAUCUUGUUAUGCAUAAUAGUUCAAUCAAUGGCAGUAUUUCAAACGUGUUAUUUAAUUCUAAAGUAUUAAUGCUAAAUAGCAAUAAUUUCAGAGGUAAUGUGCCUCGAAUAUCUCCAAAUGUCACCCUUUUGGAUUUAUCUAACAACUCUUUGUCCGGGUCAAUUUCUCAUUUCUUAUGUGGCCAGACAAAAGAAAAAAAUAAUUUGAAAUAUUUGGAUCUCUCUCAUAAUGUAUUAUCAGGAGAGAUUCCAAAUUGUUGGAUUCAUUGGAAAUCAUUGGAAUAUAUUAACUUGGAAGGCAAUAAUUUUAGAGGCCAAAUUCCCUACUCAAUAAGUAAUUUGUCCAACCUAGUUUCAUUUAGUCUAUUCAAUAAUAGAUUAUCUGGAGAAGUGCCUGUUUCGUUAAAAAAUUGUAAAAAGCUUCGAAUUCUUAAUUUAGGUGAAAAUAAGUUUUCAGGAGCUAUAUCAAAUUGGGUGGGACAAAAUAUAAUUGCGUUCUAAUUACGAUCCAACCUAUUUAGUGGUAAUAUCCCCACUACAAUAUGCAAGCUUGAUUUUUUCAAGAUAUUGGAUCUUUCAAAUAACAAAUUAUCAGGCCAAUUCCAAGUUGUUGUCUAACAAGCAUGAUUUCCAAGAAUGAAUCAUUUGAUUCAUUUGUUGUUAUUGCUCUUCUAGGUGACAUUUUUUUUACCUUUUAUUAUAAUCUUACCAUGCUCAUUAAGGGUAUUAAGUUAGAUUAUUCACAUUCAAUGCGGGCCAUUGAUUAUUCAAACAAUAAUUUAUCCGGAUAGAUCCCAGUAGAACUAUUUAUGCUCAUUAGGUUACAAUCUUUGAAUUUAUCUGAGAACCAAUUGACAGGGAUUAUUCCAGAUGAGAUAGGUAACCUAAUACUGUUAGAAUCACUUGAUUUAUCCAAAAAUUUAUUUUCAGGACAAAUUCCUCAGGAAAUGUCUAAGUUGUCUUUUCUUGGAGACUUGAAUCUCUCAUGUAAUAAUUUUUGGGGCAAAAUUCUAUCAGGGACCCAACUUCAAGGGUUCCAAAAUUUUAGUUAUAUGAAAAAUUCAAACUUAUGUGGACCUCCACUAAUAAGGAUAUGCCCACAAGAUGAGGAGCCACCAAAUGAAAAACAAAUGAGAGAAGAUGAUGAUGACAACUUUGAAGUUUAUUCAUGUUUCAUUAUGGGAUUUGGAUUCGGAUUUGCCAUAAGUUUUUCGGUAAUUUGGAUGACAAUUUUCUUCAAUAGAAGAUUCAGAUAUGGUUAUUUCAAAUUCGUAGACAUGGUAUUUCAAAAGUUCAACUCAGUGGUUGAAGUUGUGACAUGACGAGAAUUCAUUUGUCUCUUGAAUAACCGUAUCCGAAUUCGAAGCAUCCGAGUUCAACACAUGGCUAACACCGAGUAGUGGCAACUAGUAAGUAAAGUAACAAAUUAUAUUCAACUUUUUAAAUUUGACAUGAUACUUCUUUGGAUAUAUUUUCUCGUAUUUUUGCAUGCCAAAAAGUUUGACAUAAUUUUAUUUUAAAUUUGACAUGAUACUUCUGUUUUAGCUAUUGGAAGAGGAAGAAGUUGACGUUUUGAUUUCCAAAAAAUCAGCUGCAGAAAACACCAAGAUGGAUACCGAUGAAUCCCCUGCUGAUGGUGUUGCUCCUCCAACCUCCAAUGACACUGAUGUUAACAUGCAAGAUGCGAAGGCUAAUACUGAUACCACUGGGCCUGAAAUUGGUAGCCCUGAGACUGGAGAAAACCCUGUGCAAAUUGACACCGAUAGCAAGGUUUGUCCUGGUGAAAGAAAUACACAAGCAUAUGCAAGAAGCUUUCUAUUUUCAAUUAAUUUUGCAUUCGUUAAAUUUUGUGACACCAAGUUAUUUAUUUAUUCUUAAAAUUUUACACUUGUGGGUUUCUGUGGCUUCCAGCAAUGGAGCAUUGACAUUGUAGAACUAGCUGCGUAUUUAUAUUGGUAUCUACAUCAAGAAGAGGAUGUGCGGUAGGUUUUUAAGGGGUUACUUUUGCAUUGUUUAAUUUAGUAGGAUGUUGUUACUAUAUUUUUCUGUUAAACAAUCUGAGAGAACAUCAUAUACAUGAUAGUUUUUCAAAUAUGACCUCAUCAUUGAGUGUAUACGAUUCUUUUUAUUUUUUGGUGGUAUUUCCAUCUGUUCACAUAAUAUUGGAAUCAACCUGCAUAAAGUCACUUUGGUUUAAAGUGAAUCUUACACCUUAUAUUGAUAAUUUGAUGUACUAUCAUGCAUAAUUAAUCAUAAAAUAUUGUUGUUAUCCAGUAGGGGGUGUUCGCGGUACGGUUUAGUUCAGUUUUUGAACGAAAAGUCAUCCGAUUCAAUCGUUUAAUUAAACUGCAGUUCGGUUUGGUUCGGUUUUUUUAUCAAGAUCAUCCGAACCAAACCAAACCAAUUAAAAUCGGUUUAAUUUGGUUCAGUUUUUCGGUUUUUUUAAUCAAUUCAAAAGAAAUAUUACCAUACUAUUUCACAAAGUCAUAACCUUAAAAUAAACGAUGAACAGAUAUAAUGAUAUAAGAAAUAUUAUAUAAGCCCCACCCCUCUCCCCUUUGAGAGUGAAAAAAUUUCACUGGAUAAGAGUAUGUAAGAAUGGUAUAAGAAAAUCAGUUACAUGAUAACAGAUUCAGUUGUAUAUCAGUAUUUGCCACAUAAUUUAAUGAUAUACACUCUAGUUUCUCCUUCUCUGUUCUCUUCCUGAAUACAGUGAUAUCCAAGCAAAUUUAAUUAGCAACCUACAAGUCAAGUGUAUCUCUGAUAUAUAACUGCAUUAAAAGCUUCAAAAUAGAGAUCUUUAUUUAAUUGUAAAACAAACUAAUUAAAUAAGAAUUUUAUCACAGUUGACUGGUUGAGUGAGGUGCCUUUUCGUUGGAGCAGACAAAACAUGUGGUCUAGGAUUGAUGCAUGGAGAAAAACUCACUGAACCAGUGAACCAGCAAUUAGAAGCAAUUUCCCUAAAGAAUGAACAACAAAUAAAACAAUGAACACUGAACCCAGCAAUAAAGUCCUAAAAUCAAUAGAGGAAAAGGGUCACUAGCUCGUAGAGUUCUAAAGCAUGCAAACAAAACAAAACACAUAGUAUACUCUAGAAUAGACUAGAAGGAAGGAUGACAAAGGCCAUUGGAAAUAAUUGAUUUUCAUAAUGUGGCCUAUGAUUCAUCCAUGGAGAGUUCUAAAUAUAUGGUCUUCAAACCAAAAACAGCUUUCCAGAUAUCAUGAUCAGUAAAUACAACUUUGCUUGCUAACAUCCAUUCCAUACAGUGGGAAUUGAAAAAACAACUAUUCAGGCUAUGCCGUAACAAUACAUUGAACAAUGAUCAAUGAACAACAAUCAGAAGCAAUUUUAGUAAAUCAACAACAAAUAAAAUCAGAACAGAGAAUAAAAAUCUAACAACCUUCGACCAAAAAAUCAGAACCAACAACCCUAAACCUGUGAACCAAAAUAUACAAAUAGAAUUGAAAAUCAUGAAUCAGAAUUAAGCCUAAACCCCUAAAUCAAAACAGAACAAAAAGUUUAGAAUUAAAAAAUGAAAUCAGAAUCAACAACUCAACCAUAAAAUCAAGAACAAUUCAACCAAGUAUUAAUUAUAAAUUAGAAUCAAUAAGACUAAACUAGAAUUUAAAAAUAAAAAUAGACUCAGAACAAAAAACCAAACAUGAGGCUUAGCCUCCAUUACAGAAGACGAUGGAGGCUCGGUGGGAACUGGGGUCGGUGGCUCGGCGCUGCUGGAAAGAACAUUCCUGGGUCGGUGGGUCGGUGCUCGCUGGCGACGCUGGGCGUUGCUGGGAAGAGAACGCUGCUGCCUGCUGGGUCGGUGCUCGCUGGGAACUGAGAAGAAGGCUUCGGGUGUUGGUGGCUGGUGGGAUUGCAACUCUGCGACUGCGAGGGCGAGACUGAGAGCAGCAGAGAGCGACUGCGAGAUUGCGACUCUGCGAGGGCGAGACUGAGAGAAGAGAGCGAGAGAAGCUAGGUUUCGAAAUUGGGGAUGAGGGGGGUUAUGUGACUUUAGGUCACGACCCAACCCUGUGCUCUUGUCUGCUGAAAUAAGGAAAGCGGAAGCUGUUGACAGGUAUUAUCAACUAUGUAAUACAAUUAAGAUAGCAUUUAAUUGUCUAUAUCAAUAUUACAGUGUUAUGAGACGAAAAUUUAAGUUAAAGACUUAAAUUUAAGUAUUACAGUAUUAUAGACUUACAGUGUUAUGCUCCUCGUGGGAAGAUGUUCAAAAAAAU
rnacentral:lncRNA from 1 species